UGCAGCAGGGUACAAGCCGUAAUCAGUAACGUAAUCAUGGCCACCAUAGCCUGCGGAUUCGCGUCCCUGCCCUGAUAAGUUGCUGCAGGGUUAUCACACACAUGCUGAGUUUAAACUGCUUUUUAAACUAUCUUCUUUACUCUAACAUAUUUUAACUUGUGACAGUUUAAAUAAUCUUAGGUUUAAAUAGGUGUGAUUGAGCAAGGAAAACUAAAAACUUGGUCUCUUUAAAAAAAACAUCCGUGUGGUUAUCCAAUGAUCGAACCGAUUCCUACAGGUAUAAACUCAUCAUCUGUGGUUCCACAUAUAUAGGCAAACUUUCAUAUUUAGCGAAACCGCCAGUGCCGGAGGAGGAGGAGGAGGAGGAGGUGGUGUUUUGAUGCUCUCGACGCCGGGACAGAGGCUGGGUGAAAGCCCGCUCUACCCCGCUGAUGCUGGCUCUGUGUGGGCAGCUUGCCUCCUGGGCUGCAAAAACAUCCAAGCAACGCCACUGACCUCCUGUUUGGGAGCAGGAGCGCUCAUUCACUAACAUCCUGACCGGAUUGCAAACCUUCUCUUGCUCCCUUUCCAGCGUGAGAAAAGUGGAUUGUUAUUUGAGGUAUUAUGCAUGGAUACAAC